rnacentral:rRNA from 1 species
GCGUGAGGGAUGACGGCCUUCGGGUUGUUUUCCUCAAACAGUAGGGAAGAAGCGAAAGUGACGGUACCUGCAGAAGAAGCACCGGCUAACUACGUGCCAGCAGCCGCGGUAAUACGUAGGGUGCGAGCGUUAUCCGGAAUUAUUGGGCGUAAAGUCGACGUAGGCGGUUUGUCGCGUCUGUCGUGAAAGUCCGGGGCUUAACCCGGGAUCUGCGGUGGGUACGGGCAGACUAGAGUGCAGUAGGGGAGACUGGAAUUCCUGGGUUAGCGGUGGAAUGCGCAGAUAGACUGAGGAACACCGAUGGCGAAGGCAGGUCUCUGGGCUGUAACUGACGCUGAGGAGCGAAAGCAUGGGGAGCGAACAGGAUUAGAUACCCUGGUAGUCCAUGCCGUAAACGUUGGGCACUAGGUGUGGGGACCUAUCCACGGUUUCCGCGCCGCAGCUAACGCAUUAAGUGCCCCGCCUGGGGAGUACGGCCGCAAGGCUAAAACUCAAAGGAAUUGACGGGGGCCCGCACAAGCGGCGGAGCAUGCGGAUUAAUUCGAUGCAACGCGAAGAACCAUUCCAAGGUUCGACAUGUUCUCGAUCGCCGUAGAGAUACGGUUUCCCCUUUGGGGCGGGUUCACAGGUGGUGCAUGGUUGUCGUCAGCUCGUGUCGUGAGAUGUUGGGUUAAGUCCCGCAACGAGCGCAACCCUCGUUCCAUGUUGCCAGCACGUCGUGGUGGGGACUGUACGGAGACUGCCGGGGUCAACUCGGAGGAA